rnacentral:rRNA from 1 species
UACGUAGGUGGCAAGCGUUGUCCGGAUUUAUUGGGCGUAAAGGGCGCGUAGGUGGCGCGGGAAGUCAACGGUGAAAGUUCGGGGCUCAACCCUGAAUCGGCCGUCGAUACUCCCGGGCUCGAGCACUGUAGAGGCAGAUGGAAUUCCGGAUGUAGCGGUGGAAUGCGUAGAGAUCCGGAAGAACACCGGUGGCGAAGGCGGUCUGCUGGGCAGUUGCUGACACUGAUGCGCGACAGCGUGGGGAGCAAACAGG